CGCCUGACAGCUUGGGGAGGAAGGGUCCGCGGCCGGAGCGCCGGGACCCGGCAGAAGGGGGUACCCUCGGCGGAUGCGGCCAGCGGGGGUGGGCAGGUGGAGGCUUCCGCCCUCGUUUCUUCCCAAAUACUAAUCAAAGGCCAGGGUGCGGAGCCUUGUUUGUGUUUUCAUAAACACGCUGUAGGGAAACCAAACCCGGAAACAACCUUGCUGCCCACGGAUGGGGGACUCAUUUAAAUAAGCUGUGGCCUGACCCGUAGUGACACACGAAGUGGCCGUAAAAUGAGGAAGACACGAACCGACACACAACAAGUUAUGUAUCCAGUCAAGAAACAAAAGCGAAGAGGGGAGCAGAGAGUGUACCGGCUUAAAAAUGAAGAAACUGAAGAACAGAGGAGUUAAGUAACUGGCCCACCGUCCCAGAUCUCCCUCCAGAAAAAAGAAAAGGGACACCAAGAAGAAUGGGCAGGUCAUGGCUGGAGCAAGAGGAAGGUGUCCAAAAUUUCCAGAGAGGGAGGAAGGAAUGGGAGAAAAUGAAAAUAAAGUAACUUGUGCAGGAAUGUUCCUGGUAGCAUCAUUCCCAAUCGCCAAAAGCGGAAAAACAACCCACAUAUCCAUCAACUGACAAAUGAAUAAACAAAAUGCGGUGUAUCCAUACAAUGGACUAUUAUUCGGCCACCAAAAGGAACAAAAGCACUGACGUGUGCCACAAACACGGAUGAACGUUGGAAACAUCAUGCUAAGUGUAAGAAGCCAGAGGCAGAAGGCCACGUGUUGUAGAAUUCUGUUUAUAUGAAAUGUUCAGAAAAGGCAAAUCCAUACAGACAGUAGGCUGCCA